rnacentral:rRNA from 1 species
AUUGAACGCUGGCGGCAGGCCUAACACAUGCAAGUUGAACGAUUGGCGGACGUGUGAGUAAUGUCCGGGUAACUGCCUGAUGGAUGGGGAUAACUACUGGAAACGGUAGCUAAUACCGCAUACCAUCAGAUGUGCCCAGAUGGGAUUAGCGAGUUGGUGGGGUAACGGCUCACCAAGGCGACGAUCCCUAGCUGGUCUGAGAGGAUGACCAGGCACACGGGAACAGAGACACGGUCCAGACUCCGACGGGAGGCAGCAUUGGGGAAUAGUGCACAAUGGGCGCAAGCCAGAUGAAGCCAUGCAGCGUGUAUGAAGAAGGCCUUCGGGUUGUAAAGUACUUUCAGCGGAAAGGCGUUACCCGGAGAAGAAGCACCGGCUAACGCCGUGCCAGCAGCCGCGGUAAUUC